CUACGGGAUGCACCAGUGAGGAAUAUUGCACAAUGGGGGGAACCCUGAUGCGGCAACGCCGCGUGGAGGAUGACGCAUUUCGGUGUGUAAACUCCUUUUAUAUGUCAAGAAAAUGACGGUAGCAUAUGAAUAAGCACCGGCUAACUCCGUGCCAGCAGCCGCGGUAAUACGGAGGGUGCAAGCGUUACUCGGAAUCACUGGGCGUAAAGGACGCGUAGGCGGGUUGGAAAGUCAGGUGUGAAAUCCUACAGCUUAACUGUAGAACUGCACUUGAAACUUCUAAUCUAGAGUAUGGGAGGGGGUGAUGGAAUUAGUGGUGUCGGGGUAAAAUCCGUAGAUAUCACUAGGAAUACCUAAAGCGAAGGCGAUCUCCUGGAACAUUACUGACGCUAAGGCGUGAAAGCGUGGGGAGCAAACAGGAUUAGAUACCCCCGUAGUC
rnacentral:rRNA from 1 species